rnacentral:rRNA from 1 species
AGUCGAACGGAAGUUAGAGCUUCGGUUUUAACUUUAGUGGCGAACGGGUGAGUAACGCGUGAGGAACCUGCCUUUCAGUGGGGGACAACAGUUGGAAACGACUGCUAAUACCGCAUGAUGCUUUUGGGAGACACCUCCUGGAAGCCAAAGCUUUAUGUGCUGAAAGAUGGCCUCGCGUCUGAUUAGCUAGUUGGUGAGGUAACGGCUCACCAAGGCGACGAUCAGUAGCCGGUCUGGGAGGAUGAACGGCCACAUUGGGACUGAGAUACGGCCCAGACUCCUACGGGAGGCAGCAGUGGGGAAUAUUGGGCAAUGGGGGAAACCCUGACCCAGCAACGCCGCGUGAAGGAAGAAGGCCUUCGGGUUGUAAACUUCUUUUACCAGGGACGAAGGACGUGACGGUACCUGGAGAAAAAGCAACGGCUAACUACGUGCCAGCAGCCGCGGUAAUACGUAGGUUGCAAGCGUUGUCCGGAUUUACUGGGUGUAAAGGGCGUGUAGGCGGAGAUGCAAGUUGGGAGUGAAAUCCAUGGGCUCAACCCAUGAACUGCUCUCAAAACUGUAUCCCUUGAGUAUCGGAGAGGCAAGCGGAAUUCCUAGUGUAGCGGUGAAAUGCGUAGAUAUUAGGAGGAACACCAGUGGCGAAGGCGGCUUGCUGGACGACAACUGACGCUGAGGCGCGAAAGCGUGGGGAGCAAACAGGAUUAGAUACCCUGGUAGUCCACGCUGUAAACGAUGAAUACUAGGUGUGGGAGGACUGACCCCUUCCGUGCCGCAGUUAACACAAUAAGUAUUCCACCUGGGGAGUACGACCGCAAGGUUGAA